rnacentral:rRNA from 1 species
AUUGAACGCUGGCGGCAUGCCUUACACAUGCAAGUCGAACGGCAGCACGGGAGCAAUCCUGGUGGCGAGUGGCGAACGGGUGAGUAAUAUAUCGGAACGUGCCCAGUCGUGGGGAUAACGUAGCGAAAGCUACGCUAAUACCGCAUACGAUCUAUGGAUGAAAGCGGGGGAUCGCAAGACCUCGCGCGAUUGGAGCGGCCGAUAUCAGAUUAGGUAGUUGGUGAGGUAAAGGCUCACCAAGCCGACGAUCUGUAGCUGGUCUGAGAGGACGACCAGCCACACUGGGACUGAGACACGGCCCAGACUCCUACGGGAGGCAGCAGUGGGGAAUUUUGGACAAUGGGCGCAAGCCUGAUCCAGCAAUGCCGCGUGCAGGAUGAAGGCCUUCGG